UCACUUCCAUACCCUGCUGUAUUCCAUCUACUUUGAGGAGUUUUUUUUCUUUUUCUUUUCUCAAUUCCAGCUCACAUGUUUAAAAAAAAAAUCUAUACCAUGCUUAGAGUUUUGUAUGUGUCCUCUAGUUCCAUCCAUUUUCCUGAAGCUGACAUGGUUCAUUCUUUAUGGCUAGGUAAGACUCUUUUACACAUCUGGUAUAUUUACCAUUCACCUGUAUGGGUACCUACACUGAUUCCAUAGGCUGGCUAGUGUGCCACACUGAAUGUGGAUGUGCAGGUAGUGUUUAUAUGUGCUGACUUUUUCCUUUGGAUAUAAGACUGGGAGUGGUACAGGAUGCUUCCCUACUGAUUUUCCUCAUCCUUGUCAACAUUUGUUAUUGUUGUUAUUAUUGGUAAUAGCCAUUUUUACUAGGGCAAGGUAGAAUCUCAACUUUUUAAAUUUUUGAUUUAUUUUUUGGAGUUUUUUUGUUUUGUUUUUAAAGAUUUAUUCAUAUUUUAUGUGUCUGAGUGCUUUGCCUGUGUGUGUUCUUGUAUACCACAUGUAUGCCUGAUUCCUUCAGAGACCAAAGAGAGUAUUAGACGCCCUGGAGCUGGAGGGAUAGACAGUUGUUCGAUGCCAUUCAGGUGCUGGGAACCAAACCCCCAUCCUUGCUGCCCUUAACUGCUGAGCCAUCUUUCCAUCCUCUGGUUUACUUACUGUUGUUGUCUGGGAUGGUAUUGUUGUUUGAAACAGAAUUUCAUGUAGUCCAGGCUGGCCUCAAACCAGCUAUUUGUCUGAGGCUGACCUUGAACUCUUGAUCUUCCUGCCUUCACCUCCCAAGUAGUGGGAGGUUUAUGUCCCCAUGCCCAGCACACAGAGUACGUUUCGUACACACUUGCCUAAUGACUAAAGAUAGUGAACAUUUUUCAUGGACUUAGUUUGUACUUAGCCUUUGGGAAGCAUUUGUCAUGUCAUUGACCUGUUUGUUGAUCGGCUUACUUGUUUUUGUGUUUGGUUUUUGGAUGGUUGGUUUCUUAGUUCUUCAUGUAUUCUAAAGAUGGAUUCUGUUAGGUGAAUAGCUGGCAAAGAUUUUCUCCAUUCUGUAAGCCAUCUCCAUCACUCUGUUGACGCCUUUGCUCUGUAGACACUCAUUUUAUUGUAGUUCUGUGUGUCAGUGGUUCUGUUUUCUAAAAUGUCUACUCUAAGAAAAUCUUCCCAGCUAGGUGCAGUGGCAUACUUCUAAAAGCCAGAAUUUCAGAGUCUGAGGCAGGGGGAUUUGAAAGUUUGAAGCUAGUUUAGGCUCCAUAUGGAAACUGUUUC
rnacentral:lncRNA from 1 species